rnacentral:rRNA from 1 species
GGCGGCGCGUCUUAAGCAUGACAAGUCGAACGGACAAGAGGUAGCAAUACCUCCUAGAGUGGCGGACUGGUGAGUAACACGUGGGUGACAUACCCUUCAGAUGGGAUAGCUAUUAGAAAUAGUAGAUAAUACCGAAUACGAGCACAGGGGUUAGAGAUCUGUGAGGAAAGGAGCUAAGGCUCCGCUGAAGGAAUGGCCUGCGGCCCAUUAGCUAGUUGGUGAGGUAAGAGCCCACCAAGGCGAUGAUGGGUAUCCGGCCCUUAGAGGGUGAACGGACACAUUGGGACUGAGAUACGGCCCAGACUCCUACGGGAGGCAGCAGCUAAGAAUAUUCCGCAAUGGACGAAAGUCUGACGGAGCGACGCCGCGUGGAUGAAGAAGGCCGGAAGGUUGUAAAAUCCUUUUGAAACUGAAGAAUAAGCGUUGUAGGGAAUGACAGCGUGGUGACAGUAGGUUUUGAAUAAGCAACGGCUAAUUACGUGCCAGCAGCUGC